CCUACGGGAGGCAGCAGUCGAGAAUCAUUCACAAUGGGGGAAACCCUGAUGGUGCGACGCCGCGUGGGGGAAUGAAGGUCUUCGGAUUGUAAACCCCUGUCAUGUGGGAGCAAAUUAAAAAGAUAGUACCACAAGAGGAAGAGACGGCUAACUCUGUGCCAGCAGCCGCGGUAAUACAGAGGUCUCAAGCGUUGUUCGGAAGCACUGGGCGUAAAGCGUGCGUAGGCUGUUUCGUAAGUCGUGUGUGAAAGGAGCGGGCUCAAGCCGCGGAAGGCACAUGAUACUGCGAGACUAGAGUAAUGGAGGGGGAAGCGGAAUUCUCGGUGUAGCAGUGAAAUGCGUAGAUAUAGAGAGGAACACUCGUGGCGAAGGCGGGUUCCUGGACAUUAACUGACGCUGAGGCACGAAGGCCAGGGGAGCGAAAGGGAUUAGAUACCCCUGUAGUC
rnacentral:rRNA from 1 species